rnacentral:rRNA from 1 species
UACGUAGGGUGCAAGCGUUUGUCCGGAAUUAUUGGGCGUAAGAGCUCGUAGGCGGUCUGUUGCGUCGGCUGUGGAAAACCCGGGGCUCAACCCCGGGCCUGCAGCCGAUACGGGCAGACUAGAGUUCGGCAGGGGAGACUGGAAUUCCUGGUGUAGCGGUGAAAUGCGCAGAUAUCAGGAGGAACACCGGUGGCGAAGGCGGGUCUCUGGGCCGAUACUGACGCUGAGGAGCGAAAGCGUGGGGAGCGAACAGG